UUAUAAUAUUUUAUUAAAAAUAAUCUUGAAAUGUCGUACGACAAAUAAGAAUGCUGAAAAAUAAAUUUACAACGUUUACAUUUCAAACACGAAGGUCUCUUACCAAAACAAUUUUCGUAAAAAGCCACGUACACGUAAACAGCAUGCGAGGAAGCAACUUCCCUCGGAUAGCCCAUAAAAACUUUAUGAAGCACGUCAAUUCCAUCUACCCACCGUCACCGUGUCGUACCGAAAAAAUAGGCGCUUGCCGAAAGUCGAUCGUGGGAUUUCCUACGGUAAAAGUUUCCUAUUCAGACUGCAAGCUGUUAGCGUAGUGAGUGAGGAUGGCUCCACGUCUGGAUAGCCUCCGUUCGUCCGCUUGAAAAACCAAGAAUGUCCUUCGCUAUAAGGUCGGCAAUGAUCCGGCAAACUCGCGGCAGUAUUACGAGUUUGGAGAAUUUUGAUCGUGACCGCACGAGCGAAAGUUUCAAUCAUGUUUUUCCGCAGCGCAACUUCGUGAGCUCCUCCGAUCACAUGUGUGUACCUUAUCCGGAAAAGCAUUCUGCUCGCGCCACUCUUUCAAGUUUCGCUCUUUUACAAUUUACAUGUAAAAUUAAAAACGCAUAUGGAUUAUUUGCUACACAUAUCUUAUCUAUCUUCUUCGUUAUUCGCAUAAUAAUUUCUGAAUAUUAGCGAAUUAAUAAAAAAGUAAAGGCGACACACACACACACACUUUCUGAAUAAUUUUUUGAUUGAUUCUUUUGUAUUUUUUAAAUGCAUUUUUUAUUUUUUGGCGCAGAGGAAGUUUCUCAACGAAAGACGUGAAACGUUUUGUCUCCACUGGCGCGCGAACUUUUCGUUUUUUUUUUGUGCGGCUAUAUGUAUAUGCAGGUAAACGCGGCGGCAUCAAAUAUUCACCAACUUGACAUCCGUCUGCCAGUUAUCCGCAUUGCCCGGAGGACAAUCGGGACCGAUCCUCUCGCUUGAUCGCGUUGUACGACCUCCCGGGGAAUUAUUUCUCUGUCUUCUUACAGUCUCGGCUGUAAUCCUGUGUGGUCGACGUGAAACGUUGUGAAACAAUAAAGUAUUCGUCGCAGUCUACCGCGGUAUUCCCACAGAAACUUAUUAGCGUACAAUUGUGGUGUCGAGGCGAGAAUGUGCGCGCCGGGCAUACGUACAAUUCAUACGACGGAUACAUCCUCCCGCUGGCAACGAAACAUACACCGUUGUGUUAUACUGCUGGUGUAGUUGCGCCAGGCGCGUACGAUGGUACGUGUUCGGUAUCACGACUCUGGGAUAACUGCCGGGAUACUUAUACAAAUUGAGACGUGAAAGAGAUAUUGUCCCUCGACGGCAAGCCCGUUUUUCCAUCUUGCCGCCCCCCUUAUUCCUCCGUUUCUAUUCCUUCCGCAGUUUUCGUCUACCUCGUCUCCUCUCGUACGUUCUGGGAAUACGUUAUCGUGUGCGCGAAUAAACAAAACGGCAGUAAUCUCCGCACGCAACCCGACGAACACCCCUCUCUUUAUCGUAGAAACGCCCGUUUACCCGUUUCAAUAUCAGCUCGCUAAACGAGAUCUCAAAGGAGGCACCGGUCUAGGAGGUACCCACGAAUUUCCCCGAGCGCUCUGCGAGAUUCCAUUACAAGAUGGUACGCGGCGGGGGCUGCGUUUACGCUCCACUGGCACGCAGAUGCGUCAAUCAGACCAGCAGGGAAUUCGGCUGGUUGGUAUUGAGUCGCGAUAAUCGAAAAUGUUCGUGUACCCUUCGGCCAAAACGAUUGUCAAUCAGAUUGAUCGAUAGAUAAGGACCAUUCGCAUCCGCGACUUCUCCACGAAUCUUCUGAAAUUCGAUUUUAUGCGCGGGGUGCAGCUUCACUGGACGUGGUCAUCACGUUAAAACUGCCCGGCGUUGACAAUUAGUUUAUGAAUGUCGGUGACAGAUAAAAACGCGGGUGAUUGAUCGAGAUAGAUUACGGAUAUCGCUUCGAGUAUUAAGCAAUGCAUGGAUAUUUCGGUGCUAAUUUUCCGCGUGGUCCGAUUUUUUUCAAUAUAUUAGAAUUAGAUGUUAUGAAGCUUGAAAUUAUCGUAUUUAAUUAUAUAGUGUAUUUCUCAUUAAUAUAAAUAUUGAAAUUAAUGUUCUUAAUCAAUUUUUUAAUUAUGAUUGAAAGUAUAUUAUAAAUUAUCUUAGGCUACUAUAUAUUUUAUUUGUUGGUUAAUAAAUCCUUGUAAUAUUAUAUCGAAGAAUUAUAUAUAGAUUAUUAUUGGGUGGCAUUUUUCCAAUGUUAUGAGAAUUAUUUGAUGCAUCGCUAACAGUAUUGCAAACGGAAGAAAUUUCACGUUUUACGAAACCGCUGAAUGUAUUCUCCUGUUUCGUAUCAGGCAAAACCGGAAUAAUCGAGGAUGACGAUGGUAUAGCUCAACGUGAUAACGGAGGAUACGUCAGAAUGACCAUCCAUUGCAUUAGUUGCCAUUGAUAAACUAGCUCUGCACGUGACAUUAUAUGAGUUGGCAUCACGGCGAAAUCCAUUGUUUAGACCGUAUGAUAAAGUUCUGCAAUUCUCGCCGACAGUUAUAAUGGUGAUUGCUUCGAACGACAAGCGUUAGAGACAAAACCUACAAGAAUAACACGAUGUAGUAUGUGAAAUCUCGGAGUAGUUUUGUGUCGCUGGAAGAAAAUGCACUUGUCAAAAAAUACAAUGUCUCUUUCUGCGGCUACGGUGAAAUCAGAAGAUGCUACCCACGCUGAUCACGUACCGCGCGCUGAGGCCAAUCUGUUCUCCCCUGCCGUCACGUUUGACAGUUUAUGUCACUCGCGUUGCGCCCUGUCUAUAGGCGAUCUACCUUUUCAACUUGGGGUAAGAUGUCAAUCAUGUUUCAACUCAUAGAUUUUGUCGCUGGAACUCGAGUUUUUGGCACUUUAUAAUUGUAUCUGGUACAUCAUGGCGUUUUGAUGAAUUAUAAUGUUCCCAACGAAAAACGAGUCUAUUACUGCUAUCUGGGUUACGAAAUUAUAGCUGUAUUGUUCAUAUAUAUAUUGAAAAAUAUUAAUUGACAUUUCGAUAUAGCAACGUUAAUAAAAAUAUUUGACGUAGCAGAAUGGUCAGUGAGAACAUUACAGUCAUCGUUAGGUAUUAAUCAUUGAACGCUUUAUAAAUAUGACUGAGAUAAAUACUAGCCUUUUCUGAGUUUCUCUCAUCAAAUUCACAUUCGUGAAUAUGUCGAAAUAUUUGCGUUACCAGUUCGACGAGCAGAGAGAUACUAUCCCGCUCUCCCGUGCGAGCGGACAAAAGUGGCGUGCGAUCAGAUCGGUCUGUUUCAGGUUUAGAGGUCGGCUUCAAAAAUGACUCGCGUGCCUGUUAGAGGGUUUUCAAGCGGACGACAAACACGUGGCUACACGCGACACUCGGCCACGCCGUGAUUUCAAACCGUUAACAGCCGGCCGUCGAAUAGCGCCGAUGCAAACGCCAACAGAUUAAUGCUAAUUUACUCGAUAUUUACGCUUCUCCUCGACACUGUGGCGGGGCAACAUAUUUCCAUUGUUUUACUACGGCGUGUCAAUAUUGAAUAGCGCGCAGCGAUAGACGAUCGGGAUAUUUACUAUAGCGUUACCUACGCGUAAGCCUCACAACGCGAGCAUGCCAUAUGAAACUGAUAGAUUGUUCGAUUAUUAAACAUAAAAUUUGAAGCUUUAGACUAAAGCAAAUAUAAAAAAGUGCCUCUCUUCGUUCUGAAAUAUAUCAGCAAAUAGAAUGACUUUAUGUUUAUUGACAAACAUCUUUUUGUAUUUUUAACUGCGCUCCUCCUGCCUUGAAGGCUACAUUCAAUUGCAUUUUAUUAUUUAAAUAAAUUUAUCUGUCAAUAUGUGUACAGAUACAAUGUUAUUAAAUCAUUUUAUUGAUGUUUAUUAAGCGAAUUUAAAUUGUGAUAUAUGAAUCGAAGUAGUAUAACAUGAUUUUCCAGAAAUCCUUAAAUUUUUCGACCCUGAGGAAAUCAAGCGCCACCAGAGAUACAGCAAAAUAUUAUAACGAAGGUGUGUCAACAUAGUCAAUUUUUGGUGAAUAAUUCAAAAAAAGAUAGAGAGGAGAGAGAGAGAGAGAGAGAGAGAGAGAGAGAGAGAGAGAGAAUGAGUGAGAACAAGGAAGAUAAAGUCAGAAAGGUAGAGAAAACAAAAUACGAUGUUAAAUUCACGUACGAAAAAUGAAAUGGAAUAUAGUAUAAAAAUCUCUAGAGAAUGGAGCUGAUUCGUAUAUUUUAUAUAAACUGAAAAUCUUUUCUAAAUAUGUGUGUAACAUUAAACAAUUGCGAUAUGGAGAAUAAGGAAUUAUACACAUAUACAACUUUUAUAAAUAACAUUAAAUAAAGGAAUAAAUAAUUAAUAAUAAAAUUAAUUAGAUAUCAUUAAAAUAUUUAUUUAAAAAUAGAAGAUGCAUUCUAUAUAUCUUUUUAUUAAGAUAUAAUUUUAAUUUGUAUACUAAGAUCUAUAGGGAAAUUGCGAUCUCGGCGUCAUUUAUUAAAUGAUUACAUAAUUACGUAACAUAAACAUUUGUUCUAAUAAUAAUCAAGAUAAUGUAUGCAAUGUUUGGAUCCUCUGCAUACCAUUACCUAAAAUUGCAUGAAGAGUUAUGUGUUCUUAAUUAUACAGGUUUACAUACCUUUAUUAUUUUUAAUAUAAGCUUUAACAAUUUAUUUCGAUGAAGUUAUUAUUGUUCAUCUUUAAUAUGAAAUAUUUUUUAAUUAUCUACUUGAUAAUAUAAUAAAUGCAUGGUGAUUUUACAUUAUAUAAUGAAACGAGUUUCACGUAUAUCUAAAAUAUAUAAAAAAACCUUUAAUAGCUUUUUUUACGAACUGCAUACAUUUUAAUAUUUUUUUUAUUUUUUACAGGUACGGUAUAGAAGCAAUUUUGUAGAUUAAUAUUUAUCGUAAACUUAUUGUGUAUAGCUAUGUGAUACAUAUAUUUUAAAGCAUAGAUUUUUGAAAAUACAUGCAUACAUUUUGUGACAUUUGAGCAAUUUUAUAUCGUUUAUCUUAUUCGAUUUGUCUUAAACUUUUUUUAUUCCAUACUUGAUAUGAGCGAUGAAUGAUACAAAUUAUCCGUUUAUUAAAUCGUAAUGUACAAACAAGUAUCAUUGUCUGUAAUCAGAUGAUGAAAAAUUUCUUAUUUCACGAAAUUGGGACGUAAAGAAUGGAGAUAGGAUCCAUCGUUUGUUUUCUCAAGAAUUUAAGCAAUCUGGAGCAUUCGGAAUCGCUGACCUAUGUUCGUACAAUUCCGUUCUACUUAGUUCAGAGCAGUCGGCCGUACAAUUGUCAAUAGAAGUUUGAAAGCACACAAAUUGAUGACGAUUGGAUGUAAUAUAAAAAGAGAAUUUAAUUAAAUUAGAUGAGAUCUGUAAAUGAAAUUUUAUUUAUCCAUAGUAUAUUAUAAUUUUUUUAAUUUCGCUAAUCUUGGAGUGCACCUUUUAUUACCGUAUUAUUAUUACUUUAAAUUUUAGUAUAUUUUAUUAUACAAUGUUGUAUUUAUAUUAUAUUAAAUGACGAUUUUUCUAUUUUUAAUAAAUAAUUUUUGAAAAAGAUAUUUUGAACUCCAUACAUCAAAUUACAUAUGGGAAAGGGAAGUUGCAAUUUUUAUAUCACUCAACGUAUCGUUCUAUUUUCUUUCUAUUUAUGUACAGUUGCCUACAGUUUUCAACUGUGAAUUAAUGAUUCACUUUUUCAUAAACAGGAGAUUUCCUCCCGUAUGGUAGUGCGUGCAUCCUUCGCAGCCAUUAAUUCAAGGUUGAUAAUCUCUUACAUCAUUUCUCAAGCCGUCUCGCUACGAAAUGCCAUGGUGAAUACUUGCGUAUAUCGUGAGUGUACAUAUCUUUGUCGCGUGUCUCUGGAGAUUUUUCCAGCUGGGGAUGAAAUGCGGCUCGCAAUUAGAUCUACCUAGCGCGGCAUAUUUGCGGUACUGCGCGCAAGAUACUUUCCACCCACGCAAUUUACAUCUCUUCCCAGCUUCCCCUUUUCCUCUGAGAGUACUUUCGUAGGAAUUAUUAUUCGUAUUCAUGCGUUACUUUGUCGUGUUUAGGUUUAUUGACACAAAAUAUUGGUAAGACGUGAUUCAUUCAGUAGAUUUGACAAAAUCUGUACUUACAUAAUUUUGUUUCGGCAAUUUUAUCUUGCCACGUUAAUGCUGCGCAUGAAACUCACCGAUACAUAUGACGCCGUGUUAGCAUCAACUGCUACUGUCUGCCAACCCAAUUAUUCCGUAAUCAGUCAACCAAUGGGGCACAGGCUGUCUGCUUCGUACUGUACGUUUAUUACAGAUCAUAAACAUAAUUUAAUUACAUCGGUAAUCUUAUUCAAUGCUUGAUCGAUUAAGAUUACUAGUCUUUGAUGCAAACAUUAAUAUAUUUUUUGCAAUAAUAUAACAAGACAUUUUUAUUAACCAUUAUUCGUGAAGUUUUUACUUGUAUAUGAAAUAUCCCAAAA